UCCAGAACGCAUCAGCGUCAGUUUGGUCAAGAUUGCUCAAAUCUUCUUUUCUAACAACGUUAUUCGUGACGACACUUUCAAACAAAGUGUAGCGUUCUACAAUUAUUAUUUAUAAAUACACUAGUACAAAUGAAACGAACAUGGCUCAUUUUGAAUUCGAGCGAAAUGAAUCCAAACUUGCGUGCGAGCUUGCUUGCAAAGCAUUAAGAUCAAGAUGGAUUCCGGCGGAUUCUCUCUGCUCGUGAUCGUCUGGAGAGAAAUCGCGGACUUCGUGACCUAGCCUCUCCCAUGGAAACUGCAACUCAUGCAGCUUCCCUUGUUCGAUGCAAGGUCAAGAUCAGGGGUAGGGCCUUAAGUGGUUAUGUCAUGAGCUGAGCGAGAAGGCAGAUAUAAUUGGGCGGUAGAGCAAGUAGUCACAUCACUAGCCGGUCCCGGGGUCAAGGGUAGGAAGUAACGAGCGACAGAUUUGCACUCGGCUUGCCGAUUACAAAUCCCCGUAACCGAACGUACAAACACUCACCUUAGGUCUGAGGGCACACGGAAGGACUCGGUCAUUUCAACCGUGACCGUGAAAGUGACCGGAUAGGAGUUCUUGGUGUUGCUUCGCGUCUUUCAGUUUUCAAGUCCAAGAUAGGAACAAGUAGUGCCAGUGUGCGAACGUGUGCCGUGUGCGUUAAGAAGGAGAACCCCAGUCGUUCGGCGGCCCUCUUACUCCCCGAUAGAACUGGUGCGUCGGCACCCGCACUGCUGGUGUUCCAGCAUCCCCGUCCGUGCCCGCAGGAUCCACUUUCCGUCGUUCCGGUUGAAAAACCCCCCCGGUAGGACGCCGUCCGGAAGAGGGCUGCGCACGUUACCAUCGCGCCCUGAACACGCCCAUCCACCACGCGCGUGACCAACUUACACCCCUUUGCGCGUCGGCCAGCUAACCCCGCCGAGAGCGCCGAGAGCAGAACGCCCACCUGGCGUCGACCGUCAUCGGAGAGCGCGUGAACUAAGUUCACCGCGCCACGCGGAUAGAUAUCGAGUUGCCGCCGGAAGCCGGCAAGCACGACGCUGAGGCGUCUCGAGAGAAGCAGCACAACCGUGUCGAGAGAAGAGCAGCACUGAGCGUCAGGAGCAUCGUCGAGCGUCGCAGAGCAUCCGAUCGUCGCACCACGUGCGGCCCCGUUCCUGUGAGAGAGGUUAGGUUGCAAACCGCCUAACCAAGCAGUGAGUACAACUCCCCCCUAAGAGACUAUCUCCAUGCGCAUGUGAAUUUGGGGUUUUAGCGAAGACACGCACCACUAAGAGCUCGGCCGAGCCAAGAAACGAACGAAAAACGCACACGUAGGAAAAACCAACUAGCUAUGUUUCGGGAAUAUUUAUAUUAGAGGCCUCAACUAUAACUAUGCUAAUCCUAGGUUAAUUUGUAGUUUACGAUCGUACCGCUGUAAUAAAAUCAUGCUUU
rnacentral:lncRNA from 1 species